rnacentral:pre_miRNA from 12 species
UACAGGCCAUCUGGACUGGCCAGUGUUGAGAGGCGGAGACUUGGGCAAUUGCUGAACACUGCCCUGGGCAUUGCACUUGUCUCGGUCUGACAGUGCUGGCAAAACACAGCACAUCCUGGG